rnacentral:rRNA from 1 species
UACGGGGGGGGUAAGCGUUGUUCGGAAUUACUGGGCGUAAAGGGCUCGUAGGCGGCCAACUAAGUCAGACGUGAAAUCCCUCAGCUUAACUGGGGAACUGCGUCUGAUACUGGAUGGCUUGGAUUUGGGAGAGGGAUGCGGAAUUCCUGGUGUAGCGGUGAAAUGCGUAGAUAUCAGGAGGAACACCGGUGGCGAAGGCGGCUACCUGGACAGAAACUGACGCUGAGGCGCGAAAGCUAGGGGAGCAAACAGG